UGUGUGUGUUUGUAUGUGUGUUAGUGUGUGUGUUUGUGUGUUAGUGUAUGUGUGUGUUAGUGUAUGUGUGUGUGUGUCAGCAUGUCUGUGUGUGUGUCAGUAUGUCUGUGUGUGUGUCAGUAUGUCUGUCUGUCUGUGUGUCAGUAUAUAUAUGUGUGUAGAUCUGUGUGUGUCAGUAUGUGUAUGUGUCAGUAUGUCUGUCAGUGCGUC